AUACGGAGGGUGCGAGCGUUAAUCGGAAUUACUGGGCGUAAAGCGCGCGUAGGCGGCUUGUUAAGUCGGAUGUGAAAGCCCCGGGCUCAACCUGGGAAUUGCAUUCGAUACUGGCAGGCUAGAGUAUGGUAGAGGGAAGCGGAAUUCCGGGUGUAGCGGUGAAAUGCGUAGAUAUCCGGAGGAACACCAGUGGCGAAGGCGGCUUUCUGGACCAAUACUGACGCUGAGGUGCGAAAGCGUGGGGAGCAAACAGGAUUAGAUACCCCGGUAGUCC
rnacentral:rRNA from 1 species